UACGUAGGCAGCAAGCGUUGUUCGGAAUUACUGGGCGUAAAGAGUGUGUAGGCGGUGCUCUAAGUCUGGUGUGAAAUCUCCCGGCUUAACUGGGAGGGUGCGGCGGAGACUGGAGUGCUAGAGUGUGGGAGAGGUAAGCGGAAUUCCUGGUGUAGCGGUGAAAUGCGUAGAUAUCAGGAGGAACACCUGUGGUGUAGACAGCUUACUGGACCACGACUGACGCUGAGACACGAAAGCGUGGGUAGCAAACAGG
rnacentral:rRNA from 1 species